ACCCUCACCCCAGCUCUAACUCUUAAACCUUUAACAGCCUUAAUUAUUCACGGUUUAGUUUCCCCAAAACACUAUAAAAUUAAGUUUAAAUUAAAAUCUCUACCAGAUAUGUUAUCUUGUAGAGAGUUUGUUCGAACAUGAUGCUCACAUUACAGUUUAAUUUAGCAUUUUUGCAACAGCUGUGUUAAACCUUGUGAUGAAUCUUCAGGCUCCUUCUUCACCUUUUCCUCAUCUUUUCAUUUUGCUUUGUACUGCUGUGUAUCUUAUUCUCUAUGUUAAUUGUUUUCGCUGUGUCUCCUGGUCUCCUCUUGCACAGAGACAGAAAACAGAAGCCGUGCUCCUGCUGGUCAUGCUGUGGCUCUGUAAGAGUCAGAGGAAGAUGGAUGAUCAGAGUGCUUGUGUUUAUUUGUGCAAGGCUGGAGUUUGGGGGGACGGGGAAGUGUAUUAUGUAUGCAGUGCUCACAAUCAGCAACCAAACAAGAUUAGGAAUUAUAGAUGAGAAAAGCAAGAGAGCGAGAAAAAAAGGAAGCUAGGUUUGAUUAAUCUGGACACAUAGCUCACUCUUUUGUGUUUGCUUUCUUACAUCAUUUCCUAAAAAGGCCCAAGCCAUGGAAGCCAUCAAGCUUUUCUUUUUUACAUUCCUGUGAUGAAUUUCCAUUUCCAGGCUCACUAUAAUAGCAUGCCAUUUUACCUGGAAGUAAUAAUGCUGAAUUGUUAUUCCCUGCCUUACCAAGACAGUUCAAAACUGUAUGGAAUACAGCAGGGAGGGAAGUGAAGAAACGGUCUACUCCUGCCAUCUGAGAUCAGAUGGCGCUGUGACUGCAUCGGAAAUGAACAGAAACAGGAGAAAAUUCCCACAAUGAAGACUGCGUGUUGUCUUGGAAAUGAUUUGUAUAAUAAAACUUUAAACUGUUUUAA